AUGUUUAUGCAAAGCAUUUGUUACAUUUGUUGCUUGACAGUGAAAAUAUUUUGUUAGGUCUUCCUUUGAUAUCCUGAAAGCUGGGAUAUGGAUAGGAUAAACAAGACAUUUGUGAGAGAAUUCAUUCUUCUGGGACUCUCUGGUUACCCGAAACUUGAGAUCAUUUUUUUUUCUCUAAUUCUAGUAAUGUAUCUAGUGAUUCUAACUGGCAACGGUGUUCUGAUCAUAGCAAGCACCUUUGAUUCCCGUCUUCACACCCCCAUGUACUUCUUCCUGGGCAACCUCUCUUUCCUGGACAUCUGCUAUACAUCCUCCUCUGUUCCCUCAACUUUGGUGAGCUUAAUUUCAAAGAAAAGGAACAUUUCCUUCUCUGGAUGCGCAGUACAGAUGUUCUUUGGGUUUGCAAUGGGCUCAACAGAGUGUUUGCUCCUUGGCAUGAUGGCUUUUGAUCGCUAUGUAGCCAUCUGUAGCCCCCUGAGAUACCCUGUCAUCAUGAGCAAGGUGGUGUAUGUACUGAUGGCUUCUGUGUCAUGGCUCUCCGGUGGAAUCAACUCAAUUGUGCAAACAUCUCUUGCCAUGCGAUUGCCUUUCUGUGGGAAUAAUAUUAUUAAUCAUUUCUUAUGUGAGAUAUUAGCUGUCCUUAAGCUAGCUUGUGCUGACAUAUCCCUCAAUAUUAUCACCAUGGUGAUAUCAAAUAUGGCAUUCCUGGUUCUUCCACUGCUGGUCAUUUUUUUCUCCUAUGUGUUCAUUCUCUACACCAUCUUGAGAAUGAACUCAGCCACAGGGAGACGCAAAGCCUUUUCCACCUGUUCAGCGCAUCUGACUGUGGUGAUCAUGUUUUAUGGUACCAUCUUCUUCAUGUAUGCUAAGCCCAAGUCUCAAGACCGCCUUGGGAAUGACAAUCUGCAAGCUACAGAAGGGCUUAUUUCCCUGUUUUAUGGGGUAGUGACCCCCAUGCUAAAUCCUAUAAUCUAUAGCUUGAGAAAUAAGGAUGUUAAAGCUGCUGUGAAAUAUUUGCUGAAUUGGAAAGCUGUUAAGCAAUAA